AUGAUAGAGGAGCACAAUGUUCAACAUAUCAAGUACUUCGGGAUUAUGUGGAAAAAUAGAAAGAGAUUUGUACCUGCGUACUUCAAGAAUGACUUUUUCCCAUUCAUCCAGUCAACAACAAGAAGUGAAGGGACAAAUUUUGUAUUCAAAGCAAAUGUAGGGUCAAGUAACAGUGUGAUUGCUUUCAUGACAGAGUUUGACAAGAUAUCACAGAGUAUUGAAGAAAAAAGAAAAGAAAAUGAUUCAGUAACAAGGAGAACUUCUCCAACUAUUUGGAGUGACUGGGCAUUGGAAAAGCAAGCUGCAAAACUAUAUAACAGAGGCAUAUUCUACAAAUUUCAGCAAGAGUUGAUGAAUUCAACAAAAUUUCACAUGAUGGAAGUGGAAAAGAACAAACAAUAUGAGGUGUACAAGUCACCAACUCAAGCACUGUUUGACUAUAACCCAAGAACAUUCAUAGUGAUUGUUGACGGAGACUCAGAAACUAUUUCAUGUGUGUGUGGGAAAUUUGAGAAAGAUGGCAUUCUGUGCUGUCAUGUACUCAAAGUCAUUCAACCAUUGAACGUAGAUGAGUUACCAGAAAAGUAUUUCAUUGACAGAUGGAGACCUAAGGAAAAGAGAGUAUUUCAAGCUAAUGAAGAAAAUGCAAACCUUGAGGAUUUGGAUGAGCAAAUGGCAUUCUUCUCAUUUUCAAGAAGGAUAGUUCAACUAGCUUCUGAGGCAUAA
rnacentral:rRNA from 1 species